rnacentral:tRNA from 1 species
AGGGUGAUAGCUCAGUGGUAGCGCACAUGAUUAGUCUUCAUGAAGUCCUGGGUUCAAUCCCCAGUACCUUC